ensembl:ncRNA C09B8.12 ncRNA
ACUUUAGUGACGUCAUAAGAAUUUUGGAUAAAUGAAUUAGUUGAAAUGGGAAGAGGGUAUAAAUGUCAAGCGAAUUUGAAUUGAGAACAAGAUACUGAACAAACGGAAAAUAUGAGCUCUCAAUUAAAUAGUGGAGGACGAGU